ACAACCCACAUGCAGAUGCAGAACCUGGGGACCAGAAGCUCACCAACUCUAGCUCAGCACAGCCCAGCCAACAUUUAUCAGGCCCUGCACUGCACCAAGAAACUGGAAAGGCAUUGGAGUUACUAGGAUGGACAAGAUUCAGACCAUUCCUUUGACAGGGACCAUAUUUGGUGUUUCUCAAGAAGGAGCAAUGUUACCCAAACAGG
rnacentral:lncRNA from 1 species